GGAAGUAAUCCGGCCGGAUGAGGAGACUGUCUUGAAAACAGUUAAUUCUGUUAGUACCAGAAUUGUGGGUUCGAGUCCUACUGCUUCCG
rnacentral:tRNA from 1 species